rnacentral:rRNA from 1 species
GUGGGGAAUCUUGCGCAAUGGGCGAAAGCCUGACGCAGCCAUGCCGCGUGAAUGAUGAAGGUCUUAGGAUUGUAAAAUUCAUUCACCGGGGACGAUAAUGACGGUACCCGGAGAAGAAGCCCCGGCUAACUUCGUGCCAGCAGCCGCGGUAAUACGAAGGGGGCUAGCGUUGCUCGGAAUUACUGGGCGUAAAGGGCGCGUAGGCGGAUCGUUAAGUCAGGGGUGAAAUCCCAGAGCUCAACUCUGGAACUGCCCUUGAUACUGGCGAUCUUGAGUGUGAGAGAGGUAUGUGGAACUCCGAGUGUAGAGGUGAAAUUCGUAGAUAUUCGGAAGAACACCAGUGGCGAAGGCGACAUACUGGCUCAUUACUGACGCUGAGGCGCGAAAGCGUGGGGAGCAAACAGGAUUAGAAACCCCUGUAGUCC